rnacentral:lncRNA from 1 species
UUAAAUGUAAAGAUAAAUGUUGUUUAUAUAUAAAAUGAGAACUGGAAAACUAUAACCUUAUGAAUGAAAAAAAUUGCAUAUUGAGUAAUUAAAUUUUUUAUUUAAGCAGUUUAUUUGGUGUUCGAAAUUAUUUUGAGAAAGUUUGUUUAUUUUUUAACAGAUUGAGCAUUGAAGAUGGAUAAUCAGUUUUUCGUAUGCAUUUAUUUCGAUAGAAUUAUCUUGACAACAAUCGUUGGAUGCAUAUCUGAAUGUCGGCAACAAAUAGCAAUGAGAUUUAAUAGAAAUGUCUUGUUGGAUGAUAUGAAGGGAAGAAUUAACGUAAAAAUUGUUAGACGUUGU